GACGAACGCUGGCGGCGUGCCUAAUACAUGCAAGUCGAGCGGACUUAUUCCUUCGGGAAUAGGUUAGCGGCGGACGGGUGAGUAAUACGUAGGCAACCUGCCUGUAAGAUCGGGAUAACUAUCGGAAACGAUAGCUAAGACCGGAUAACUGCUUUCUCCGCAUGGAGGAAGCAUGAAACACGGGGCAACCUGUGGCUUAUAGAUGGGCCUACGGCGCAUUAGCUAGUUGGUGAGGUAAUGGCUCACCAAGGCGACGAUGCGUAGCCGACCUGAGAGGGUGAACGGCCACACUGGGACUGAGACACGGCCCAGACUCCUACGGGAGGCAGCAGUAGGGAAUCUUCCGCAAUGGACGAAAGUCUGACGGAGCAACGCCGCGUGAGUGAUGAAGGUUUUCGGAUCGUAAAGCUCUGUUGCCCUAGACGAACAGCAAGGGGAGUAACUGCCCCUUGUGUGACGGUAUAGGAGAAGAAAGCCCCGGCUAACUACGUGC
rnacentral:rRNA from 1 species